ensembl:lncRNA
GUUUGGGUGAGUUAAUUAACCCACUAGUAAAGCGCGUCAGUUUACCGCCGUUCAUUCACUCUUCAGCUUCAGUUCACACGGCUCAAUCCUGGGCAUUAUUGACUACGAUGGGAUUAUCUGAAACACAAGAACUAUUCUUUCCAGAUUUUUCUUCUUCUUCUUGUGAGGGAAAUUAUUCAUUUUUACUCUGUAAUAAUUUUGUUUCUGUUCAUCUGAGGAAAACACCCAAGAAGGCCAUGUCAUGUCAGUGAGAUCAGUAAAGAAUGUUUAUCUGCUUACAGAGCCACAAACAUGUUCUUCUGUUCAAGGUUCGUAAGACCCUAAAACAAAGCCUGUUCGAACUGCCUCAAACUGCUUCUUAUCGGUGUGUCCUGCUCUGCGUUUCAUAUAUAUAGUAGAGGUUCAGCACAAGUGCUUCAGAGCACUCUCAUUAUUCUAUCCUGUAUUAACCAUCUUUCUGUAAUAAACCUUUUUACCUUCAGAGGACGAGUCUGCGAGUGUUGUCUAAUUUCCACGACAAUUUGGCGUCUCCUGGCUGGGCUGCGCGAGUCUUUUCACCUUUUCUGGAUAACAAGUAAACCGGAGGAUGCUCCUGAAAAAGUUUCACCCUGAAGUCUGUGUUGACGCACGCGAUUUGGCCAUUGUUGUGCAGAGCGAAAGACCGAUGCAGCCUUCCACUUACUGUGUGCUAACUUGCAGAAAGUCGAUCCCGACCUGGACUCUGCCCCACUGCGACACCCACAGCCAGUAAGGAGGGAGGAAAAUGCAGUUUCAGAGGCACCUCCUCACGAUGAAGCGGCCCAGCCUACGCCACUCUAUCCGAACCAGUCAGAACUGAGCCACCAACCCCCACCGAUCUAUGCGCCAGCCGUCCUAUCCUCACUGGUGGCGAGAUCCCAAGGGAAGGGACCAACAACAUUGCUGCCUGAGGGCUUCAGAUCAACAAAAUCGGACAGAGAAAGGACAGUGCACGCUGUGGUAAAUGCCCCAAUACUAGAAGUGGCCGGAGAAGGAGGCCCUAUGCUAGUUCACAGACCCUGGACAUUGGAAGACAUCAGGAGCAGCAUGACGCAUCUGCCGGCGCUCUGCGAAGUAGAAAGACGAAAGUUUGGGGAUGACCUUCAGAUAUUCUGCAGAGAAUUCAGACCCACCACUCAUGAACUACGACGACUGCUCAUGGCAAAACUUCGCACGGACUUGGUCAAGGUUUCACGUGAAUUCCCAGAGAACGAUGUCCGCCAAAUCAACCCACAGUGGGAUGAUGGAGUCAACGCAAGGUACAGGGCACAAAUCGUGGUGCUCCAGCAGAGGCUGACGAACACAUUUCCCGUGUGAAUGGACAAGACUCAGAGACUGUAUCACAGUACCUGUCCAGGCUCACUGAGAUCCAUGAUGCAAACUCAGGCUUCGAGAAACCCAACGCUCUGGCAGAUGGGCAGGCGGCCGUCACAGCAGGGGAGGCACAUCUCAGAAACAGCUUUAUGAACGGCAUGAAACCAGAAAUUGCCGCUAUAGUCAAACAACAAUGUAUCACCUGGGACACCGGAAGACUCACAUAAGUGGAAAGGUAUGCAAUCCACGUGGAAAAGCUCUUACGAGAGGCAAAGGAAAGAAAGAUGGAGAGGAAAGGAAAACCAAAAGCACCCAGAUGAGGAAGGCCAGGUGGCAACCCCCAUAGAUACAACUUCACAUAUUUUAUCUGCGGAAAAGUUGGACAUUUUGCAAGAGACUGUCCAGAGCAGAAGCGAACUGAUGGGCGGAGCUAAGGGAAGGGUGAAGCACCUAGGAACAGAAGAGGUGACAUCAGACACCCAAACUAUCAAUUAGCUCACAAAGAACAGGAAUAUAUGCACACACCCACAUCCAACAUUAGUCAGACUGACAAUUCACAAAUGUCUGAAACAGUCAUGACCCUUAACCUUUUAAAGUAUAAUGCCUCUCCUUUUACACAGUUACCAUGUAUAUCUCUUGCAGUUAAUGGACAAAAGUGUCACAUUUUUGGGAGAUUCAGGAGCAACAUAUUCAGUAAUAAAACACUGUGAAUUAAAAGAAUCCCCAAAAAUGAGUUCACGGUCACUGCACUCCAUGGGUAGGACAUUCAGGAUUAGAACGUUUCUCUGAACCGCUAGUUUGUGAAUCUGAAAAUGGGAAGAGUAACCCACCAAUUCCUAAUUCCGUCUUCAUGUCCAGUCAAUCUACUGGCCAGGGACUUAAUGUGUGUUUUACUCUGCUCCCCUAGAGUUGACCUGAAGGAUGUUCCAUCGGAAAACCCAGAUCUGAUCCUUUUUGUGUAUGGGUCUGCGUCACGUGACCCAGAGACAGAUAAAAAUCGAGUGGGCU